rnacentral:tRNA from 1 species
CAAGACGUAGCUAAACACAAAGCACUCAGCUUACACCUGAAAGAUAUCUGCCUGCCGCCCAGAUCGUCUUGA